rnacentral:rRNA from 1 species
UACAGGUACGACGGCAGAGAUGUCGUUUCCCUUGUGGCUUGUAGUACAGGUGGUGCAUGGUUGUCGUCAGCUCGUGUCGUGAGAUGUUGGGUUAAGUCCCGCAACGAGCGCAACCCCUGUCUCAUGUUGCCAGUCACGUAAUGGUGGGACUCGUGAGAGACUGCCGGGGUCAACUCGGAGGAAGGUGGGGAUGACGUCAAAUCAUCAUGCCCCUUAUGUCUAGGGCUUCACACAUGCUACAAUGGCUAGUACAGAGGGCUGCGAUACCGCGAGGUGGAGCGAAUCCCAGAAAGCCGGUCUCAGUUCGGAUUGGGGUCUGCAACUCGACCCCAUGAAGUCGGAGUCGCUAGUAAUCGCAGAUCAGCAACGCUGCGGUGAAUACGUUCCCGGGCCUU